rnacentral:lncRNA from 1 species
AACAUGGAUGGAGUUGGAGGCUGUCAUCCCUAGCAGACUAAUGCAGGAAGAGAAAACCAAAUAUCACACAUUUUCACUUGUAAGUUGGGAGCUAAAUGAUGAGUACUUCUGAACACAAAGAAGGAAACAACAGACACUGUGGUCUACUUGAGGGAGGAGGGAGAGUGGAAGGAGGGAGAGGGAUGCAGUUGGAAACGUGUUCUCUUUUUAUGAUCCCAAGAAAAGAGAAGUGUAUGAGAAAAGAGAGUUGAUUUGGAGUUAUACAAAAUAUAGAAAUCAUUGGAUAAAUAGGAAACUUCAUUUUAAUUUGAGAUGUUAAAAUAUUUGGAAGAUUUUCAAAAUGAUUUAUAUGAAGGUAAGUGAUAACAGCAAUUUUUGGUUCACUAUCAUCAUCUUUAAAAACAACAUACUUUUUAAUGAUUCAUUUGCUUAAACCAACUUGGUAGUAAGAAUUUGGUAUGAAAUCUUCAUAAAUCAGUAAUAAACUCAAAACCCUCUACUCUUCAUGAAACAGAAAUUGUAUUUACCAAAAAUAAAUCAGUAGUAAAAUGGAAAACUAGUUUUCUAACUUGUUGAUUGAUAAGGUUAUCAUAAAUUUGUAUAUAAAGUAUGCUAUUGAAUGUUUCAAGUUUUUAAACUUUACCUAGAUAGUGUUGUAACAUACUUAAUAUUUAAUUUGUUUUUUUUUUCACUUAACAUCAGUUUUUUGGGAUGGACCUUGAGGAUAUAGGUAGCUAUAAUUCAUUCAUGUUUACUGUCAUAUAGUAUUAUAUAACAUCUCAUAAUUUAUUCGUCUAAUUUUAGAUUGCUUUUAGUCUUCUGCUGCUAUAAACAUUUUUUGUAUAUGUUUUCUUGUGCAUACAUAAGAAAGUUUCUCUAGGGAAAUGCUUGUGUGAGAAAUUGCUGGAUCUUAGGCUAAGCACAUUUUAAAAUAUCCUAGAUAUUGGCAAAUUUUAUUCUAAAGGGAUUGUGCUGAUUUGUAUUUCCAAACUGAGAACACUGAGAAUUCCUGUUUUCUCAUGUUUGUGAAAAACUUGAAUUUAAAAAAAAUUUUGUAUCACCAAUUACUAGUUAGAACAGUGAGCAUUUGGAUAUCUUAGUCUCUAAAUUUGUUUACAUGCUUUGCCAUUUUUAUAUUUUAUUGUUUUUGUUUCAUUUUUAAUUGAUCCAUAGGAAUUCCUUCUGGAAUUUUAAUAGUAAUCCAUGGUGAUGUAUUAUAUGAUAUACAAUAUUUUAUAUAUUUUAUAUAUAUUGUAAGAUAUAUAUUUUACAUUUAUAUAUAUAUUAUAUAAUAUGUAUAUUUAUGUAUAUAUACAUGUUGUAUGUAUCUUCUACCAGAAUUGCUUGUAUUAUCACUUAAAAGACAAGUCUUAUAUUUGACGGAAGUAUUUAAUUCUAAAUUAGUCAAAUGUAUUCAUCUUUCUUAUAGUUUGUGCUUAUGCAUCUUGUCUAGGAAAUUAUUCCUCACACUGAAUUUAUUAAAAAGAUUUUCUAUAUUUAUUUCUAAAAGUUUUAAAGUUUUUUUUUGACACUUAGGUCUUUCGUUCACUUGGAAAUUUUUAAAUGUCAUAUAAGUAAAAAUUGAAUUUAUUUGUAUUCCUAUCAGGAGCAUAUUUCCCCGGUAUCGUUUACUGAAUAUUCCAUUAUUUACCUACUGACUUGAGGUGAUGUCUCUGUCGCACACCAAAUGACCCAAAGUAUAGACAGGCCUGUUUCUGAGUUCUCUCUUCCGUUCGUUGGUCUCUUUGUCUUUCUCUGCAUGAGUAUCACCCAGUUUUAAUUAUUAUAAUUUUAUAAUAAAUCUUGAUAGCUUGUAGAACUAGCCAUCCAUUUUCACUUUCAAAAAUAUCUUGGCUAUUCUUGGUGUUUUAUUUUUUCAUUUAACUUUUAAUAUCCACUUGUUAAGGUGACACGAAACUGGUAUUAGACAUGAUUGAUCUCCCUAUUUAUUUAGGUCUGUUUUAUGUCUUUGGCAAAAUUUUAAUAUUGUCAUUCGAGUUCUUGCACAUCUUUGUUAAAUUUACUACUAGGCACCUUAUAGUUUUUAUAGCUAAUAGAAAUGGUAACUUUUGGGGCUAGUGUGGUGGCUUAUGCCUGUAAUCCCAGCACUUUGGGAGGCUGAGGUCGGGGGAUCUCUUUAACCCAGGAGUUUGAGACCAACUCGAGAAACAUAGUGAGACCCUGUCUCUACAAAAAAAA